UCUACCUAGUAGUACGGAAUAAUUGUUGGAAACGGCAACUAAUACCGUAUACGCCCUACGGGGGAAAAAUUUAUUGCUAUUAGAUGAGCCUAUAUUAGAUUAGCUAGUUGGUGGAGUAAUAGCUUACCAAGGCAAUGAUCUAUAUCUGAUCUGAGAGGAUGAUCAGCCACACUGGAACUGAGGUACGGUCCAGACUCCUACGGGAGGCAGCAGUGGGGAAUAUUGGACAAUGGGCGAAAGCCUGAUCCAGCCAUGCCACAUAAGUGAAGAAGGCCUUUGUGUGGAAAGACCCUUUUAGUAAGGAACAUAAUGACGGUACUCAGAGAAGAAGUCCUGGCUAACUCCGUGCCAGCAGGCGGGGUAAUACGGAGAGGGCUAGCGUUAUUCGGAAUUAUUGGGCGUAAAGGGCGCGUAGGCUGAUUAAUAAUGUAAAAGUGAAAGUCCCGAGGUUAACCUUGGAAUUGCUUUUAAAACUUGUAAUCUAGAGAUUGAAAGAGGAUAGAGGAAUUCCUGAUGUAGAGGUAAAAUUCGUAAAUAUUAGGAGGAACACCAGUGGCGAAGGCGUCUAUCUGGUUCAAAUCUGACGCUGAAGCGCGAAGGCGUGGGGAGCAAACAGGAUUAGAUACCCUGGUAGUCCACGCUGUAAACGAUGAAUGUUAAAUAUGGGAAGUUUACUUUCUGUAUUACAGCUA
rnacentral:rRNA from 1 species